rnacentral:rRNA from 1 species
GACGAACGCUGGCGGCGUGCCUAAUACAUGCAAGUCGAACGCUUCUUUCCUCCCGAGUGCUUGCACUCAAUUGGAAAGAGGAGUGGCGGACGGGUGAGUAACACGUGGGUAACCUACCCAUCAGAGGGGGAUAACACUUGGAAACAGGUGCUAAUACCGCAUAACAGUUUAUGCCGCAUGGCAUAAGAGUGAAAGGCGCUUUCGGGUGUCGCUGAUGGAUGGACCCGCGGUGCAUUAGCUAGUUGGUGAGGUAACGGCUUACCAAGGCCACGAUGCAUAGCCGACCUGAGAGGGUGAUCGGCCACACUGGGACUGAGACACGGCCCAGACUCCUACGGGAGGCAGCAGUAGGGAAUCUUCGGCAAUGGACGAAAGUCUGACCGAGCAACGCCGCGUGAGUGAAGAAGGUUUUCGGAUCGUAAAACUCUGUUGUUAGAGAAGAACAAGGACGUUAGUAACUGAACGUCCCCUGACGGUAUCUAACCAGAAAGCCACGGCUAACUACGUG